GCCCUCCGGGGCAUUCGGUCAAUUUGAAACAAUACAGAGAAAAUUAGCAUGGCACCUGGACCAAGGAUGACACGCUACUCAAAGAGACGCUCCCAAUUUUU
rfam:Podospora anserina genomic DNA, chromosome 6.